rnacentral:rRNA from 1 species
UUUUCUGCGAGAUUAAGCUAUGAGUAGUAAUUGAUGUUCAAAAAACUUAAAAUUAUUUGGCGGUUUUAAUUAUCUUAUCAGAGGAAUUUGUCCUGUAAUCGAUAAUCCUCGUUACAUUUUACCUGAUAUAUGUGUUUGAAUAUCGCUGUAUAUUAUAUUUUUUAUAUGAAAUAUAAAUUACUAAAAAUAAAUAAUAUAAGUCAAGGUUCAGCUUUUGUGGGUUUGUGAUGAAUUACAAUUUUGGUUUUUGAAUUGAUUUUUAAAAUGAAAUUAUGAUAAUGGAUUUGAUAGUAAUUAUAUAUUAGUAAGUUAUAAUGAAUAAAGUUUAUUAAAAUGU